UGUGCCUAAGAGCAGCUCCAUUGGAAGCUUUUAGAGAGGGUUCUAAAAAAAAAAGCAAAAAAAAUAAAUGAAAAAAUAGAUAAAAAAUGUAACUUUUUUGUUUGAACACAUAUAGGAAGUCCGUUGAAGGCCGCUGUUUUGAUUAACUACGACCCGACAGCACCUUCUCGUCUCAUAUAAACACUAGCUGAGCAAGAAGGAAUUGAUCUCUACCCAGUCGAGCUGAAGCAGUUCAUGAGACGUGGCAAUCUUCCGACCUAGACUUUUGUUCUUGGAUCCAACCAGUGCAUAUAUAGUAACAUCGAUCCACGAGAACUGGUUUGCUGUUGGGUGCUUAAACACAACUCGACCUGCUGGUGAAGGAGCUAUUGUUAUGCAGACCGCGGUUUAUGUAUUGGUUGCUCUGUAUGAUGGAUCGAUUGGUUCAGCUUCUCGAGCUGCUGCAGCUGAUCACUUUGCAUCGCAGCUAAGUAGGAAAAACUUCUAGCUUCAUCUUUUGCCAAGAUCAUUAAGAAAGUCAUAUAUGUAUUUUGAAGUAACGAACUUUUGACUAUGUUUUGAGUCUUUGACAAGUAUAAUGAAGUAAGAUGAAAUGUUUUUCAUUUAUGAAAUAUGAAUAGAGAAGUCAGGAAUCAGUUGGUACAACAAGCCUUUGCUUAUGGGUACAGAGAACAACUCAUCUCAGCAUAGAUUUGUUUUAAUUCGGUUCCAAGUCAUGUAAGCAGUAGGAGUUGUUGCGUUGUAAUCUCUGAAACUGUUCAAGUUCUUGAAGCUAGAAACACUAUAGUCUUGUCAUGUUGGGUUCUGAUAUCAGACGCUUCUAAGUUCUAACUUCAUGUCUGAGUCAAGUGUUGUUCAGGUAAUGUGGAUCAUGUUUGCAAGACAUAGCGGACACACCAUUUGAUCAGCUGAAGUAACGAGAUCUCUAUCUAAUUAUAAAUUUAUAUGUCUAUUUUUAAUA